rnacentral:rRNA from 1 species
AUUGAACGCUGGCGGCAUGCCUUACACAUGCAAGUCGAACGGCAGCACGGGGGCAACCCUGGUGGCGAGUGGCGAACGGGUGAGUCAUGCAUCGGAACGUACCCGGGAGUGGGGGAUAACGUAGCGAAAGUUACGCUAAUACCACAUAUUCUGUGAGCAGGAAAGAGGGGGAUCGCAAGACCUCUUGCUUUCGGAGCGGCCGAUGUCGGAUUAGCUAGUUGGUGGGGUAAAGGCCUACCAAGGCGACGAUCCGUAGCGGGUCUGAGAGGAUGAUCCGCCACACUGGGACUGAGACACGGCCCAGACUCCUACGGGAGGCAGCAGUGGGGAAUUUUGGACAAUGGGGGCAACCCUGAUCCAGCCAUGCCGCGUGAGUGAAGAAGGCCUUCGGGUUGUAAAGCUCUUUCGGCCGGGACGAAAUCGCAUCUCCUAAUACGGGGUGUGGAUGACGGUACCGGAAUAAGAAGCACCGGCUAACUACGUGCCAGCCGCCGCGGUAAAAC